CCUACGGGUGGCAGCAGUGGGGAAUAUUGGACAAUGGGGGGAACCCUGAUCCAGCCAUGCCGCGUGUGUGAAGAAGGCCCUCGGGUUGUAAAGCACUUUCAGUGAGGAAGAACGCCUGGUGGUUAAUACCCAUCGGGAAAGACAUCACUCACAGAAGAAGCACCGGCUAACUCCGUGCCAGCAGCCGCGGUAAUACGGAGGGUGCGAGCGUUAAUCGGAAUUACUGGGCGUAAAGCGCGCGUAGGUGGCUUGAUAAGCCGGUUGUGAAAGCCCCGGGCUCAACCUGGGAACGGCAUCCGGAACUGGUAAGCUAGAGUGCAGGAGAGGAAGGUAGAAUUCCCGGUGUAGCGGUGAAAUGCGUAGAGAUCUGGAGGAAUACCAGUGGCGAAGGCGGCCUUCUGGACUGACACUGACACUGAGGUGCGAAAGCGUGGGUAGCAAACAGGAUUAGAUACCCCAGUAGUC
rnacentral:rRNA from 1 species